rnacentral:lncRNA from 1 species
ACAUAUGGUCGAUCUCAUCGUCCAGCUCGGCGGAUUUUCUGUAUGCUACUUGGAUUUCUUAUGAAGGUCUUCGGUCAGUGGCGGACUCAAAUUCUUAAGGGCCCGAAGCUCUUUGAGCUCUUCUUCGUGCUUCUGGCGAUGUGCCAGAUGCUUUGAUCCUUUAGCUUGACAGAUCGACAUUUGUAUCAGUGAUGACCCGAUGAGUGGCCUUGGUCGUUUUCAGUUCUUCUUUGAUCUUGUCGAUAUCCUUCUGAAGGCAUUCAUUGUUGAAGAUAGAAAUAUCAAGAUUGUUUCUUUCUUUUGCCAACACAGACUUCCGGAUGGCGUUAUCUCUUCGGCAUUCUCUUCGGC